UGUUGGGUUAAGUCCCGCAACGAGCGCAACCCUCGCCAUUAGUUGCCAUCAUUCAGUUGGGCACUCUAGUGGGACUGCCGGUGAUAAGCCGGAGGAAGGUGGGGAUGACGUCAAGUCAUCAUGGCCCUUACGGGCUGGGCUACACACGUGCUACAAUGGCGGUGACAAUGCGCAGCCACCUAGCAAUAGGGAGCUAAUCGCAAAAAGCCGUCUCAGUUCGGAUUGGGCUCUGCAACUCGAGCCCAUGAAGUCGGAAUCGCUAGUAAUCGCGCAUCAGCAUGGCGCGGUGAAUACGUUCCCGGGCCUUGUACACACCGCCCGUCACACCAUGGGAGUUGGCUUUACCCGAAGACGGUGCGCUAACCGCAAGGAGGCAGCCGGCCACGGUAAGGUCAGCGACUGGGGUGAAGUCGUAACAAGGUAAAUGCCA
rnacentral:rRNA from 1 species